rnacentral:rRNA from 1 species
AUUGAACGCUGGCGGCAGGCCUAACACAUGCAAGUCGAGCGAGCGGCGGACGGGUGAGUAAUGUAUGGGGACUGCCCGAUAGAGGGGGAUAACUACUGGAAACGGUGGCUAAUACCGCAUACUAUCGGAUAACCCAUAUGGGAUUAGCUAGUAGGUGGGGUAAAGGCUCACCUAGGCGACGAUCUCUAGCUGGUCUGAGCGGGUGAUCAGCCACACGGGGAAUGAGACACGGCCCAGACGCCUACGGAGGCAGCAGUGGGGAAUAUUGCACAAUGGGCGCAAGCCUGAUGCAGCCAUGCAGCGUGUAUGAAGAAGGCCUUAGGGUUGUAAAGUACUUUCAGCGGGGAGGCGUUACCGACAGAAGAAGCACCGGCUAACUCCGUGCCAGCAGCCGCGGUAAUUC